AUUGAACGCUGGCGGCAGGCCUAACACAUGCAAGUCGAGCGGUAGCACAGAGAGCUUGCUCUCGGGUGACGAGCGGCGGACGGGUGAGUAAUGUCUAGGAAACUGCCUGAUGGAGGGGGAUAACUACUGGAAACGGUAGCUAAUACCGCAUAAUGUCGCAAGACCAAAGUGGGGGACCUUCGGGCCUCAUGCCAUCAGAUGUGCCCAGAUGGGAUUAGCUAGUAGGUGGGGUAACGGCUCACCUAGGCGACGAUCCCUAGCUGGUCUGAGAGGAUGACCAGCCACACUGGAACUGAGACACGGUCCAGACUCCUACGGGAGGCAGCAGUGGGGAAUAUUGCACAAUGGGCGCAAGCCUGAUGCAGCCAUGCCGCGUGUGUGAAGAAGGCCUUCGGGUUGUAAAGCACUUUCAGCGGGGAGGAAGGCGGUAAGGUUAAUAACCUUGUCGAUUGACGUUACCCGCAGAAGAAGCACCGGCUAACUCCGUGCCAGCAGCCGCGGUAAUACGGAGGGUGCAAGCGUUAAUCGGAAUUACUGGGCGUAAAGCGCACGCAGGCGGUCUGUCAAGUCGGAUGUGAAAUCCCCGGGCUCAACCUGGGAACUGCAUUCGAAACUGGCAGGCUAGAGUCUUGUAGAGGGGGGUAGAAUUCCAGGUGUAGCGGUGAAAUGCGUAGAGAUCUGGAGGAAUACCGGUGGCGAAGGCGGCCCCCUGGACAAAGACUGACGCUCAGGUGCGAAAGCGUGGGGAGCAAACAGGAUUAGAUACCCUGGUAGUCCACGCCGUAAACGAUGUCGAUUUGGAGGUUGUGCCCUUGAGGCGUGGCUUCCGGAGCUAACGCGUUAAAUCGACCGCCUGGGGAGUACGGCCGCAAGGUUAAAACUCAAAUGAAUUGACGGGGGCCCGCACAAGCGGUGGAGCAUGUGGUUUAAUUCGAUGCAACGCGAAGAACCUUACCUGGUCUUGACAUCCACAGAACUUUCCAGAGAUGGAUUGGUGCCUUCGGGAACUGUGAGACAGGUGCUGCAUGGCUGUCGUCAGCUCGUGUUGUGAAAUGUUGGGUUAAGUCCCGCAACGAGCGCAACCCUUAUCCUUUGUUGCCAGCGGUUAGGCCGGGAACUCAAAGGAGACUGCCAGUGAUAAACUGGAGGAAGGUGGGGAUGACGUCAAGUCAUCAUGGCCCUUACGACCAGGGCUACACACGUGCUACAAUGGCAUAUACAAAGAGAAGCGACCUCGCGAGAGCAAGCGGACCUCAUAAAGUAUGUCGUAGUCCGGAUUGGAGUCUGCAACUCGACUCCAUGAAGUCGGAAUCGCUAGUAAUCGUAGAUCAGAAUGCUACGGUGAAUACGUUCCCGGGCCUUGUACACACCGCCCGUCACACCAUGGGAGUGGGUUGCAAAAGAAGUAGGUAGCUUAACCUUCGGGAGGGCGCUUACCACUUUGUGAUUCAUGACUGGGGUGA
rnacentral:rRNA from 1 species